rnacentral:lncRNA from 1 species
ACGCAUUGAGUAGAAGAUCAUACGCGGGAACUAGUGCGAUGUUGUUAACACAAAGGCCCAUUUUGUGUGAUUUACAAAAGAUGAGGAUAGAAUUCAAGACUUCGGGGACUCAUGCAAUGAUGUCAAGUUUACGUAUAGAACCAACUUUAAUUGAGAAAGUUAAAGUUGCUCAAGCCACCGACCCGGAGCUGAUGAUUAUGA